UACGUAGGGGGCGAGCGUUGUCCGAAGUUACUGGGCGUAAAGAGUACGUAGGUGGCUUGUUAAGAUACAUCUGAAAGGUGACAGCUCAACUGUCAAUGGUGGUGUAAGACUGGCAGGCUUGAGGCAAGCAGAAGAGUGUGGAACUCCGAGUGUAGCGGUGGAAUGCGUGGAGAUUCGGAAGAACACCCAUGGCGAAGGCAGCACUCUGGGCUUGAACCGCAAGGUGAACCUGACACUGAGGUACGAAAGCCAGGGGAGCGAACGGG
rnacentral:rRNA from 1 species